rnacentral:rRNA from 1 species
AUGGCGACGGGGACGGCGACGGACGGCGACGGGGGCUGCGACAAGGGGCGGCGGCGACGGGGCAGAGGAGAAAGAAGCAGGGAGAGAAGAGAAACUGACAAUUUUUUUGAAGUGUUUUCUUAUAUAGAACAACCUUUAGUACCGGUUGGAGCCACCAACCGGUACUAA